UGGGGAAUAUUGCACAAUGGGCGCAAGCCUGAUGCAGCCAUGCCGCGUGUGUGAAGAAGGCCUUCGGGUUGUAAAGCACUUUCAGCGGGGAGGAAGGCGAUAAGGUUAAUAACCUUGUCGAUUGACGUUACCCGCAGAAGAAGCACCGGCUAACUCCGUGCCAGCAGCCGCGGUAAUACGGAGGGUGCAAGCGUUAAUCGGAAUUACUGGGCGUAAAGCGCACGCAGGCGGUCUGUCAAGUCGGAUGUGAAAUCCCCGGGCUCAACCUGGGAACUGCGUUCGAAACUGGCAGGCUAGAGUCUUGUAGAGGGGGGUAGAAUUCCAGGUGUAGCGGUGAAAUGCGUAGAGAUCUGGAGGAAUACCGGUGGCGACGGCGGCCCCCUGGACAAAGACUGACGCUCAGGUGCGAAAGCGUGGGGGGCAAACAGG
rnacentral:rRNA from 1 species